CACACACACAUACACUAACACACACACACUAACACACAUACACUAACACACAUACACUAACACACACACUAACACACAUACACUAACACACAAACACACACACUAACACACAUAAACACACACAUACAUACACUAACACACACACUAACACACAUAAACACACACAUACAUACACUAACACACACAUACACUAACACACAAACACAUACACUAACACACACAAACAC